GCUGGUGUGGCUUAAUGGAAAAGCGUCUGCCUCCUAAGCAGAAGAUUGCGAGUUCGAUCCUCGCCAUCAGCU